AUUGAACGCUGGCGGCAGGCCUAACACAUGCAAGUCGAGCGGAUGAAGGGAGCUUGCUCCUGGAUUCAGCGGCGGACGGGUGAGUAAUGCCUAGGAAUCUGCCUGGUAGUGGGGGAUAACGUCCGGAAACGGGCGCUAAUACCGCAUACGUCCUGAGGGAGAAAGUGGGGGAUCUUCGGACCUCACGCUAUCAGAUGAGCCUAGGUCGGAUUAGCUAGUUGGUGGGGUAAAGGCCUACCAAGGCGACGAUCCGUAACUGGUCUGAGAGGAGGAUCAGUCACACUGGAACUGAGACACGGUCCAUGCUCCUACGGGACGCAGCAGUGGGGAAUAUUGGACAAUGGGCGAAAGCCUUAUCCAGCCAUGCCGCGUGUGUUAAGAAGGUCUUCGGAUUGUAAAGCACUUUAAGUUGGGAGGAAGGGCAGUAAGUUAAUACCUUGCUGUUUUGACGUUACCAACAGAAUAAGCACCGGCUAACUUCGUG
rnacentral:rRNA from 1 species